AAUCAAUGUGAAUACAGCUGAAGAAUUGACACAUUCCCUUUUUAUCAAAGUGGUUCCAAGUAUUCAUUUCUGUGAUGAGGCACAUAACUGCCGUUUAUUAUUAUAUAAUUGAAUUACUGUGCAUCUAGAAGCAUUUGUUCCUUUUCAAAACACAAUUCCUGACAGUGAACAGAUCCCUUUGAGUACAUAGACUGCUAUUUAAGGCAAUUACUUUGGGGCAAAUCCUAACUUCCACGUAGUUAUGCAUUGAUGUCAAUGGGAGACAAACACAUUUUUUUACUUAAGAGCAAGUUAGGAUUCACCCCAUAGUGGAUGAACCACACAAUUGCCUUGUGUACCAUCGAACACUGAAUACAUACAAUCAACAAGUGCAAGAAGCUGAAAUCAAUGUGAUGGUGAAUGAAAAAUCUUGAUCGUAUUUCUCCCAUCUACAAAUAUCUAAUCACACAAUGGCCUUUAUACUUAAAAUUCAUCUGUCAGUGUACAGCAGCAUGUCUUAUCACAGCAUGAUCAAACACCCAAAGCAGACGCCAUACAAAACUCCUAGGCUAGGACAACAAAACACUAGCCCUGGUCGCAGAUCAGUUGGUGCUGUACAGACAGCCAACUCCUAUGGUUGACAAAAUGGCAUAAACAUAUCUGGGAUCAAGCUAACGAAACGCUUCAAAUCAAAUGUUAUUGGUCACAUACACAUGGUUAGCAGAUGUUAAUGCGAGUGUAGCGAAAUGCUUGUGCUUCUAGUUCCGACCGUGCAGUAAUAUCUAACAAGUAAUCUAACAAUUUCACAACUCCCUUAUACAGACAAGUGUAAAGGAAUUAAUAAGAAUAUGUACAUAUGGAUGAUGAUGGCCUUGCGGCAUAGGCGAGAUGCAGUAGGUGGUAUCGAGUACAGUAUAUACAUGAGAUGAGUAAUGUAGGGUAUGUAAACAUUAUAUAAAGUGGCAUUGUAAUAAAGUGACUAGUGAUACAUUUAUUACAUCCAAUUUGUUAUUAUUAAAGUGGCUAGAGAUUUGAGUCAGUAUGUUGGCAGCAGCCAGUCAAUGUUAGUGACGGCUGUUUAACAGUCUGAUGGCCUUGAGCUAGAAGCUGUUUUUCAGUCUCUCGGUCCCAGCUUUGAUGCACCUGUACUGACCUCGCCUUCUGGAUGAUAGCGGGGUGAACAGGCAGUGGCUUGGGUGGUUGUUGUCCUUGAUGAUCUUUUUGGCAUUCCUGUGACAUGGUGUAGGUGUCCUGGAGGGCAGGUAGUUUGCCCACGGUGAUGCGUUGUGCAGACUUCACUACCCUCUGGAGUAGAGCCUUACGGUUGUGGGCGGAGCAGUUGCCGUACCAGGCGGUGAUACAGCCUGACAGGAUGUUCUCAUUUGUGCAUCUGUAAAAGUUUGCGAGUGUUUUCGGUGACAAGCCAAAUUUCUUCAGCCUCCUGAGGUUGAAGAGCCGCUGUUGCGCCUUCUUCACCACGCUGUCUGUGUGGGUGGACCAUUUCAGUUUAUCCGUGAUGUGUACGCCGACGAACUUAAAACUUUCCACCUUCUUCACUACUGUCCCAUCGAUGUGGAAUGGGGGGUGGGGGGGGGCUCCCUCUGCUGUUUCCUGAAGUCCACGAUCAUCUUUUGUUGACGUUGAGUGUGAGGUUAUUUUCCUGACACCACACUCCGAGGGCCCUCACCUCCUCCCUGUAGGCCGUCUCGUCGUUGUUGGUGGUAAUCAAGCCCACCACUGUAGUGUCAUCUGAAAACUUGAUGAUUGAGUUGGGAGGCGUGCAUGGCCACGCAGUCAUGGGUGAACAGGGAGUACAGGAGAGGGCUGAGAACGCUCCCUUGUGGGGCCCCAGUGUUGAGGAUCAGCGGGGUGGAGAUGUUGUUUCCUACCCUCACCACCUGGGGCGGCCUGUCAGAAAGGCCAGGACUCAGUUGCACAGGGCGGGGUCGAGACCCAGGGUCUCAAGCUUAAUGACAAGUUUGGAGGGUACUAUGGUGUUAAAUGCUGAGCUGUAAUCGAUGAACAGCAUUCUUACAUAGGUAUUCCUCUUGUCCAGAUGGGUUAGGGCAGUGUGCAGUGUGAUUGCGUCGUCUGUGGCUCUAUUGGGGCGGUAAGCAAAUUGGAGUGGGUCUAGGGUGUCCAGUAGGGUGGAGGUGAUAUGAUCCUUGACUAGUCUCUCAAAGCACUUCAUGAUGACGGAAGUGAGUGCUACGGGGCGAUAGUCAUUUAGCUCAGUUACCUUAGCUUUCUUGGGAACAGGAACAAUGGUUUCCCUCUUGAAGCAUGUGGGAACAGCAGACUGGGAUAGGGAUUGAUUGAAUAUGUCCGUAAACACGCCAGCCAGUUGGUCUGCACAUACUCUGAGGACACGGCUAGGGAUGCCUUGUGAGGGUUAACACGUUUAAAUAUUUUACUCAGGUUGGCUGCGGUGAAGGACAGCCGCAAGUUUUGUUAGUGGGCCAUGUCAGUGGCACUGUAUUGUCCUUAAAGCGAGCAAAGAAGUUGUUUAGUUUGUCUGGGAGCAAGACGUCGGUGUCUGCAACGGGGCUGGUUUUCUUUUUGUAAUCCGUGAUUGACUGUAGACCCUGCCACAUAUGUCUCGUGUCUGAGCCGUUGAAUUGCGACUCUGCUUUGUCUCUAUACUGAUGCUUAGCCUGUUUGAUUGCCUUGAGGAAGGAAUAGCUACACUGUUUGAAUUCGAUCAUGUUUCCGGUCGCCUUGCCAUGAUUAAAAGCAGUGGUUCGCACUUUCACUUUUGCGCAAAUGCUGCCAUCAAUCCACAGUUUCUGGUUGGGGAAGGUUUUAAUAGUCACCAUGGGUACAACAUCACCGAUGCACUUGCUAAUAAACUCGCUCACCGAAUCAGUGUAUACAUCAAUGUUGUUGUCUGAGGUUAUCCGGAACAUAUCCCAGUCCACGUGAUCCAAGCAAUCUUGAAGCGUGGAAUCAGAUUGGUCGGACUAGCGUUGAACAGACCUGAGCACGGGCGUUUCCUGUUUUAGUUUCUGUCUAUAGGCUGGGAGUAACAAAAUGGAGUCGUGGUCAGAUUUGCCGAAAGGAGGGCGAGAGAGGGCUUUGUAUGCAUUGUGGAAGUUAGAGUAGCAGUGAUCCAGAAUGCUGCCAGCCCGGGUCGUGCAUUCAAUAUGCUGAUAAAAUUUAGGGAGCCUUGUUUUCAGAUUAGCUUUGUUAAAAUCCCCAGCUACAAUAAAUGCAGCCUCAGGAUAUGUUGUUUCCA
rnacentral:lncRNA from 1 species